ensembl:snoRNA
AGCAUUUGUGUGGAUACUUGCUUAACGUGUGGACCAAGAGGUAAAGGAAGAUGAAAAAAAAAAAUUUGCAACCCAGAACUCAUUGUUCAGUAGGAAUUUUGAAACAUACACAGAAUAUU